rnacentral:tRNA from 1 species
GCCGGAGUGGCGGAACUGGCAGACGCCCGGGACUUAAAAUCCCGUGAAGGGUGACCUUCGUACCGGUUCGAUCCCGGUCUCCGGCACCA